ensembl:lncRNA
AAAAAAAAAAGUUCAAAUGCAGCCUUACAGUGAGGAUGGAGAUUGAAUUUGUGUCGGGGGUGGGGGGUGGGGGUGAAAGAGAGAAGGAGAAAGGGAAGAGAGAGAGAUACAGUGUGUGUGUGUGUGUAUUUGCGUGUGUUUGCCAAUCUGUGAAGGUCCUGAUUUGUGACCAUCAAUGUCUUUUUAACGUAUCUGCUCAACCUCUAGGACUUCAGGGGACAUUUCAUGCGUUGUCUUUGUGCUCUUCUGAGCACCAUAUAUGCUUUCCAAGAAUUUUGAAUGUGAACUCCUAGAAUUUCAGUAGAGAAUAAGUAGCUGUUGUUUAAUUAUUGCCAAGUUCAGGUGAAAGAAAUUAAUUCACUAAAAUUACAGGAUCUUAUUUACAUUGUAAUUUUUUAAAGAUCUCUUUUUUAGUAAUUCAUAUAUCUUCCUUGUUAAACAAGAGCAUGUACAAUUCUUAUGUGAUGAACAUUCAACUAGUAACAAUUAUUUUUAAACACCUGAACUAGUUAAAAUUCCACCUAAAAAUAGUCUUAAGAAUUUAAAUGGCAUCUCUCAUAUCUACCUCAUCAUUGCUGCCGUUUUAACUAAAGUAAAAACUAUGACAUCUGAAAUGGUGGUUGGAUGCAAUUUAAAAAUCUAUGUUGGUGCUUUUCUCAGGCUUUGUCAUUUAAGUUGUAUUGUCAAAGUCAGAUUGAAAAACUGAGAAUCAAUUUUUGUUUUCAUUGGAAAGAAUGGCUUAAAAUUAACCAUCAGUGUUGUUAGUGAGUGGAAAUAAUCUCUGGUUGGUGUAUAUCUGUGUGAUGUUUUUAACCAAGAUACAUUGUUACUGAAUUUACAUGAAAAAAAGUUCUAAGUGUAAUUUUAUUCAGCCUUUUUUGAAAGCUAUUUCUAGACUUAAUAAGUACAUAAUCAUUCAUUUUAUUUACUCAGAAGUUGCCUCUAUUAUUAUGUUACUUGUUUAUUUAUAUGAUUGCAGUAUUUUAAGUGUUCAACACUGGGAUUCUGGUUGUACAAAAGUACUAGCUAACUAAAGUGUGUAUAUUUUUGUGAAAUGUACCAAUUCCUAAACUCCAUUUUAGGGCAAAGUCCAGAAAACUAACAUACCUAUAUUUGAAAGCAAGAACACUAAUUUGAAUCAUUUUUACCUUUGCCAUUAAAAGCUUUUUAAUUAGCCACAUUCAUUAUCCAACUGGAUGACAAUACCAGUGUAAGGGAUUCCAGGUUAACAAAGUAUUUUACAGAUUCUUUAUAUUUUUAAUCAUAAAAAAAGUCUCACAAAUGUAAACCAAAAGGGAUCCAUAGAUUCCACAAAUUUAUUCUAGCAGUAUUCCUGAAGAGGUACUUAGGGAACAUAAUUUUCAGAAUCUUUGCUAAUCAGGCUUUAGGUUUUAUUUAACUGGGCCCACAUAUUUGACAUCCCUUUGAAGCAAAGUAGAAAGUUUGUUUUAAUUUAUAUUAACUCUAAUGUCUGCCUGUGUUUUUUAGCAGGCUGUGAACCAGUGAGUGCCUUGUUAAUGUAGAAUGACUUUCCCCCAUUGUACGUUAGCUCUCUCUGAAAAUGUCUCAAGAGAAUGGUAUUUUCACUGAGGUGUAGAGAGCUGCUAAAUUUGGCAUUAUCAGCAUUGGAAGUCUUGGAUCUAGCACAUACCCGUCUCCCUGCUUUCUCCAUUUUUUGGCUGAAGUUGGCCUCUUCUGAGAAACCAUACUUUUUUUUCCAGACCAGAUUAAGAAAUAACCCCUUAAGUCCCUCCCUUCUGUAUUAUCUAACACCUGUUUUUAGGAGGAACCACUAAUUUGUGAUACUAAAAUCUACUGGUUAUUUUAUGUCUUCUCAACCUUUGUUUAUUAGAGCUGAUCUCAGAGUAUCAUCAGUUUAGAUUCCUAAGUAACCUUUUCUCUCCACAUCCAAGCCCCCAGCUGGUGAGCCCUGGGCCAGAGUGUUGAUCUUCAGGUAUUUUACAUUUUAGUUAUAAUAUUGAUUAAUGUAAAUUAAUCCAAAUGCUAAUUUUUGUGGUGCAAGAAGUUUCCUUUGUAAAUUCAGGGUAUGGGUAAGCUAAUUAAGAUAUACAUUUUUGGUGGUUCUAAGUGUAUCAUUUGUUUUUAAAUAAAGUGUAC